rnacentral:lncRNA from 1 species
AGCCUAUAUAUACCAGACCCUGAAAAAUAAAUGGGGCCUUGCUACGAUAGAGCAUGAGCCUGGAACUAAGUUCGUGAAACUGCUCUCCUGUUGUUCCUCCCUCGGGUUUGGGACCUGCUGGCAGGAUUCUGACGUCGUGGCUCGCGACAAGUGGCGCCCGAACAGGGACCCGAGUAAGAAGGACAUCGAGGAGAGCGCCCUGCGAUCCAGGGCACUACAACAAGAACCGCGACUGAUCCCUGCGGCUCCUGCCGGUAUUCUCCCUUCUCUUCUGCUCCACCUACUUAUGGUUACAGGUAUAUUUAUAGAUCCGCUACUAUCCCUGAAUAGCUUGAAUCUGGAGACCGGAUUGGGACCCCAACACUGGAGCAGCAGAGAGAACUCCAGGAUGUGUCUUGGUGCACAAGCGGAGACUUUAUUGUCCAGAACAAGGAUUCAUUGGAACUGGUUUGGCUAUAGUUGAAGGAUUGUGGUUGCAUACUCGAUUGGACUGUGAUCCCAGAUUUCAACAGCUCUGCCUUACUCCCUUUCCUGUCAAAAACCAUUCUGAGGAAGUCCGAUGACUUUCGUCAUUGCUGCGAGGGUCUUGGAACCGGACAUUUCUAAAUACAACUAAUCAGUUGUCAUUGGACAUUGAGAUAUUGUCUGGUGUUCAUGCCAAUUCUAUCCGGCUUGAUUUAGAUUUUGCUACUGAAGUUUGGGAAAAUUUGAAAAAGCUGUUUUCACCACCUUGGAUUGUUAUAUGGCUUAUUGUUAUUGCUGUUAUGAUUGGGUUGUGUAUUUUGGGUUACUGCUCAUAUCGAUGCUGGAAGCGUUCCCAGUUUAAGUAUGAGCGUUUAGCUAUGGCUGAUGAUACAACACGCGUAGCCAUUUACUUGGCUCAGGCUCGGCGUGCUUAGAUCCCCCACCUUGGGAUACUCAGUGACCGGUAAGGACGGAAGCUUCUGUCUACCAACCUAAGACAGGUCAUAUUGGGACAUAAGCCCUGCGACUGAUGACGGGUAAGGAGAUGGAAGACUUGUGCCGCCUAAAACAGAGGUUCGUUGGUCGAUGAGUUGCUAGCAUUCUUCAUGCUAUCAAAGAGAGAUGGGGGAAUUAUGGUGAGCCAUUAUGGUGAGCUUUGACUUAGGCCUAGCCAUGAUUGAACUUUGAGUCACCUUGCCUGCACGGACGUGCUCUUGCCCAUAGCCAUGGGCGAGUUCAGCUGGUAGCAGAUGUAACCCAUAAUGGUUGUUAUUGUUUCCCUCUGGAAUGUGUGGGCGGUACUCUCGCUCCCGUGUACUCUCGCUCCCAUGCAGCUGAAGAGUAUAAGUGCUUACACUUUUGGUUUCGGUUUUAGCCUAUAUAUACCCGACCCUGAAAAAUAAACGGGGCCUUGCUACGAUAGAGCAUGAGCCUGGAACUAAGUUCGUGAAACUGCUCUCCUGUUGUUCCUCCC